GAUGAACGCUAGCGGGAGGCUUAAUACAUGCAAGUCGAGCGAGAAACUUUCUUCGGAGAGUGGAAAGCGGCGCACGGGUGAGUAACGCGUACACAAUCUACCUCAUAGAGGGGAAUAGCCCUGGGAAACUGGGAUUAAUGCCCCAUAGUAUUAUAUUUUGGCAUCGGAAUAUGAUUAAAGAUCCGUCGCUAUGAGAUGAGUGUGCGUACUAUUAGCUAGUUGGUAAGGUAACGGCUUACCAAGGCAACGAUAGUUAGGGGGCGUGAGAGCGUGACCCCCCACACGGGUACUGAGACACGGACCCGACUCCUACGGGAGGCAGCAGUAAGGAAUAUUGGACAAUGGGCGCAAGCCUGAUCCAGCCAUCCCGCGUGGAGGAUGACGGCCCUACGGGUUGUAAACUCCUUUUAUAUAAGAAGAAACCCCGAGAUUUAUCUCGGGCUGACGGUAUUUUAUGAAUAAGCACCGGCUAACUCCG
rnacentral:rRNA from 1 species